rnacentral:misc_RNA from 1 species
GAUGAAGAACGUAGCGAAAUGCGAUAAGUAAUGUGAAUUGCAGAAUUCAGUGAAUCAUCGAAUCUUUGAACGCACAUUGCGCCCGCCAGCACUCUGGCGGGCAUGCCUGUUCGAGCGUCAUUUCAACCAUCAAGCCCCCAGGGGCUUGUGCUGGGGCCCUGCGGCUGCCCGCAGGCCCUGAAAACCAGUGGCGGGCUCGCUAGUCACACCGAGCGCAGUAGCACAUCUCGCUCAGGGCGUGCGGCGGGCUCCUGCCGUGAAACCCCCCACUGUAACCCCAAAGGUUGACCUCGGAUCAGGUAGGAAUACCCGCUGAACUUAAGCAUAUCAAUAAGCGGAAGGA